rnacentral:lncRNA from 1 species
UUUUUUUUUUUUUUUUUUUUUAGGGUUGCUUCUCUAUUUAUUGACAAUAAUAAUGUACAUUUCACAGUCUGGUUCUAGGACAUUCAGGGAAGGGCGAGUGGGGGCCCGAGGGGUCCCUGCCCCACCCGCCUGGUGUCCUGUUGUAUCUCUGUGUAAGUGAUGCUCGUGACAUAGCUGUUUAUGAAAUAAUUAAAGAGGUCAAUGCGUACAACAGAUGUAGAAAGUCUGUCAGUUCCGCCUUCAUCACAUUUUUUUUUGUGCCCAGAAGAAUAUAAUAAAGCUCCUUUCUAAUGUACUUGUGCUGGAGAACACUUGAAUAAAUGGACUGUUUUUGUGCAAAAAGAAAAAUGGAAAAGCACCGUAAUAA